AAAAAACUCUUAUGUUUCCCAGAACAGGAGAGUAAAACAAAAGAAACUGGACGACACAGUUGUGCCGCAAAUCCCCUAAAAGUCUGUCCCGCCAACCUGCACUCCACCUCACCCUCUGUCCUACCAUCCUGCCAUCCAUCUUACCCUCUAUCCCAUCAACCUGCCGUCCAUCUCACCCUCUGUCCCGUCAUCCAUCUCACCCUCUAUCCCGUCAUCCUGCCAUCCACCUCACCCUCUGUCCCGUCAACCUGCCAUCCAUCUCACCCUCUGUCCCGUCAACCUGCCAUCCAUCUCACCCUCUGUCCCGUCAUCCUGCCAUCCAUCUCACCCUCUGUCCCGUCAUCCAUCUCACCCUCUAUCCCGUCAACCUGCCAUCCAUCUCACCCUCUAUCCCGUCAACCUGCCAUCCAUCUCACCCUCUGUCCCGUCAACCUGCCAUCCAUCUCACCCUCUGUCCCGUCAUCCUGCCAUCCACCUCACCCUCUGUCCCGUCAACCUGCCAUCCAUCUCACCCUCUGUCCCGUCAUCCUGCCAUCCACCUCACCCUCUGUCCCGUCAACCUGCCAUCCAUCUCACCCUCUGUCCCGUCAUCCUGCCAUCCACCUCACCCUCUGUCCCGUCAACCUGCCAUCCAUCUCACCCUCUAUCCCGUCAACCUGCCAUCCAUCUCACCCUCUGUCCCAUCAUCCUGCCAUCCACCUCACCCUCUGUCCCGUCAACCUGCCAUCCAUCUCACCCUCUGUCCCGUCAACCUGCCAUCCAUCUCACCCUCUAUCCCGUCAACCUGCACUCCAUCUCACCCUCUGUCCCGCCAACCUGCACUCCAUCUCACCCUCUGUCCCGCCAACCUGCCGUCCUUCUCACCCUCUAUCCCGUCAACCUGCCGUCCAUCUCACCCUCUAUCCCGUCAACCUCACCCUCUAUCCUGUCAACCUGCCGUCCAUCUCACCCUCUGUCCCAUCAUCCUGCCAUCCAUCUUACCCUCUGUCCCGUCAUCCAUCUCACCCUCUGUCCCGUCAACCUGCACUCCACCUCACCCUCUGUCCUACCAUCCUGCCAUCCAUCUCACCCUCUAUCCCGUCAACCUGCCAUCCAUCUCACCCUCUGUCCCAUCAUCCUGCCAUCCACCUCACCCUCUGUCCCGUCAACCUGCCAUCCAUCUCACCCUCUGUCCCGUCAACCUGCCAUCCAUCUCACCCUCUGUCCCGUCAUCCUGCCAUCCACCUCACCCUCUGUCCCGUCAACCUGCCAUCCACCUCACCCUCUGUCCCGUCAUCCUGCCGUCCAUCUUACCCUCUGUCCCGUCAACCUGCCAUCCAUCUCACCCUCUAUCCCGUCAACCUGCACUCCAUCUCACCCUCUGUCCCGCCAACCUGCACUCCAUCUCACCCUCUGUCCCGCCAACCUGCACUCCAUCUCACCCUCUGUCCCGCCAACCUGCCGUCCAUCUCACCCUCUAUCCCGUCAACCUGCCAUCCAUCUCACCCUCUGUCCCAUCAUCCUGCCAUCCAUCUUACCCUCUAUCCCGUCAACCUGCCAUCCAUCUCACCCUCUAUCCCGUCAACCUGCCAUCCAUCUCACCCUCUAUCCCGCCAACCUGCCGUCCAUCUCACCCUCUGUCCCGUCAACCUGCCGUCCAUCUCACCCUCUGUCCCAUCAUCCUGCCGUCCAUCUUACCCUCUGUCCCGUCAUCCAUCUCACCCUCUAUCCCGUCAUCCUGCUGUCCAUCUCACCCUCUGUCCCGUCAACCUCACCCUCUGUCCCGCCAACCUGCACUCCAUCUCACCCUCUGUCCCGUCAUCCUGCCGUCCACCUCACCCUCUGUCCCGUCAUCCAUCUCACCCUCUAUCCCGUCAACCUGCCAUCCAUCUCACCCUCUGUCCCAUCAUCCUGCCAUCCACCUCACCCUCUAUCCUGUCAUCCUGCUGUCCAUCUCACCCUCUAUCCCGUCAACCUGCUGUCCAUCUCACCCUCUGUCCCAUCAUCCUGCCGUCCAUCUCACCCUCUAUCCCGUCAACCUGCCGUCCAUCUCACCCUCUGUCCCGUCAUCCAUCUCACCCUCUAUCCCGUCAACCUGCCAUCCAUCUCACCCUCUGUCCCAUCAACCUGCCGUCCACCUCACCCUCUGUCCCGUCAUCCAUCUCACCCUCUGUCCCAUCAUCCUGCCGUCCAUCUCACCCUCUAUCCCGUCAACCUGCCGUCCAUCUCACCCUCUGUCCCGUCAUCCAUCUCACCCUCUGUCCCAUCAUCCUGCCGUCCAUCUCACCCUCUAUCCCGUCAACCUGCCGUCCACCUCACCCUCUGUCCCGUCAUCCAUCUCACCCUCUGUCCCGUCAUCCUGCCGUCCAUCUCACCCUCUGUCCCGUCAUCCAUCUCACCCUCUAUCCCGUCAUCCAUCUCACCCUCUAUCCUGUCAUCCUGCUGUCCAUCUCACCCUCUAUCCCGUCAACCUGCUGUCCAUCUCACCCUCUGUCCCGUCAUCCUGCCGUCCAUCUCACCCUCUAUCCCGUCAACCUGCCAUCCAUCUCACCCUCUAUCCCGUCAACCUGCCGUCCAUCUCACCCUCUGUCCCGUCAUCCAUCUCACCCUCUAUCCCGUCAACCUGCCAUCCAUCUCACCCUCUGUCCCGUCAACCUGCCAGCCAUCUCACCCUCUAUCCCGUCAACCUGCCAUCCAUCUCACCCUCUGUCCCGUCAUCCUGCCAUCCAUCUCACCCUCUGUCCCGUCAUCCAUCUCACCCUCUAUCCCGUCAACCUGCCAUCCAUCUCACCCUCUAUCCCGUCAACCUGCCAUCCAUCUCACCCUCUGUCCCGUCAACCUGCCAUCCAUCUCACCCUCUGUCCCGUCAUCCUGCCAUCCACCUCACCCUCUGUCCCGUCAACCUGCCAUCCAUCUCACCCUCUAUCCCGUCAACCUGCCAUCCAUCUCACCCUCUGUCCCAUCAUCCUGCCAUCCACCUCACCCUCUGUCCCAUCAUCCUGCCAUCCACCUCACCCUCUGUCCCGUCAACCUGCCAUCCAUCUCACCCUCUGUCCCGUCAACCUGCCAUCCAUCUCACCCUCUAUCCCGUCAACCUGCACUCCAUCUCACCCUCUGUCCCGCCAACCUGCACUCCAUCUCACCCUCUGUCCCGCCAACCUGCCGUCCUUCUCACCCUCUAUCCCGUCAACCUGCCGUCCAUCUCACCCUCUAUCCCGUCAACCUCACCCUCUAUCCUGUCAACCUGCCGUCCAUCUCACCCUCUGUCCCAUCAUCCUGCCAUCCAUCUUACCCUCUGUCCCGUCAUCCAUCUCACCCUCUGUCCCGUCAACCUGCACUCCACCUCACCCUCUGUCCCAUCAUCCUGCCAUCCACCUCACCCUCUGUCCCGUCAUCCUGCCAUCCACCUCACCCUCUGUCCCGUCAACCUGCCAUCCAUCUCACCCUCUGUCCCGUCAACCUGCCAUCCAUCUCACCCUCUGUCCCGUCAACCUGCCAUCCAUCUCACCCUCUGUCCCGUCAUCCUGCCAUCCACCUCACCCUCUGUCCCGUCAACCUGCCAUCCACCUCACCCUCUGUCCCGUCAUCCUGCCGUCCAUCUUACCCUCUGUCCCGUCAACCUGCCGUCCAUCUCACCCUCUAUCCCGUCAACCUGCACUCCAUCUCACCCUCUGUCCCGCCAACCUGCACUCCAUCUCACCCUCUGUCCCGCCAACCUGCACUCCAUCUUACCCUCUAUCCCGCCAACCUGCCGUCCAUCUCACCCUCUAUCCCGUCAACCUGCCAUCCAUCUCACCCUCUAUCCCGCCAACCUGCCGUCCAUCUCACCCUCUGUCCCGUCAACCUGCCGUCCAUCUCACCCUCUGUCCCAUCAUCCUGCCGUCCAUCUUACCCUCUGUCCCGUCAUCCAUCUCACCCUCUGUCCCGUCAUCCUGCCGUCCACCUCACCCUCUGUCCCGUCAUCCAUCUCACCCUCUAUCCCGUCAACCUGCCAUCCAUCUCACCCUCUGUCCCAUCAUCCUGCCAUCCACCUCACCCUCUAUCCUGUCAUCCUGCUGUCCAUCUCACCCUCUAUCCCGUCAACCUGCUGUCCAUCUCACCCUCUGUCCCAUCAUCCUGCCGUCCAUCUCACCCUCUAUCCCGUCAACCUGCCGUCCAUCUCACCCUCUGUCCCGUCAUCCAUCUCACCCUCUAUCCCGUCAACCUGCCAUCCAUCUCACCCUCUGUCCCAUCAACCUGCCGUCCACCUCACCCUCUGUCCCGUCAUCCAUCUCACCCUCUGUCCCAUCAUCCUGCCGUCCAUCUCACCCUCUAUCCCGUCAACCUGCCGUCCAUCUCACCCUCUGUCCCGUCAUCCAUCUCACCCUCUGUCCCAUCAUCCUGCCGUCCAUCUCACCCUCUAUCCCGUCAACCUGCCGUCCAUCUCACCCUCUGUCCCGUCAUCCAUCUCACCCUCUGUCCCGUCAUCCUGCCGUCCAUCUCACCCUCUGUCCCGUCAUCCAUCUCACCCUCUAUCCCGUCAUCCAUCUCACCCUCUAUCCUGUCAUCCUGCUGUCCAUCUCACCCUCUAUCCCGUCAACCUGCUGUCCAUCUCACCCUCUGUCCCGUCAUCCUGCCGUCCAUCUCACCCUCUAUCCCGUCAACCUGCCAUCCAUCUCACCCUCUAUCCCGUCAACCUGCCGUCCAUCUCACCCUCUAUCCCGUCAACCUGCCGUCCAUCUCACCCUCUGUCCCGUCAUCCAUCUCACCCUCUAUCCCGUCAACCUGCCAUCCAUCUCACCCUCUGUCCCGUCAACCUGCCAGCCAUCUCACCCUCUAUCCCGUCAACCUGCCGUCCAUCUCACCCUCUGUCCCGUCAUCCUGCCAUCCAUCUCACCCUCUGUCCCGUCAUCCUGCCAUCCAUCUCACCCUCUGUCCCGUCAUCCAUCUCACCCUCUGUCCCAUCAUCCUGCCAUCCACCUCACCCUCUGUCCUGUCAACCUGCUGUCCAUCUCACCCUCUAUCCUGUCAACCUGCCAUCCAUCUCACCCUCUGUCCCAUCAUCCAUCUCACCCUCUAUCCCAUCAUCCAUCUCACCCUCUAUCCCGUCAACCUGCCAUCCAUCUCACCCUCUGUCCCAUCAUCCUGCCAUCCACCUCACCCUCUGUCCCAUCAUCCUGCCAUCCAUCUCACCCUCUGUCCCGUCAUCCAUCUCACCCUCUAUCCCGUCAACCUGCCAUCCAUCUCACCCUCUGUCCCAUCAUCCUGCCAUCCACCUCACCCUCUGUCCCAUCAUCCUGCCAUCCAUCUUACCCUCUAUCCCGUCAACCUGCCAUCCAUCUCACCCUCUGUCCCAUCAUCCUGCCAUCCAUCUCACCCUCUGUCCCGUCAUCCAUCUCACCCUCUGUCCCAUCAUCCUGCCAUCCACCUCACCCUCUGUCCUGUCAACCUGCUGUCCACCUCACCCUCUUUCCUGCCAACCUGCUGUCCAUCUCACCCUCUGUCCUGCCAACCUGCACUCCAUCUCACUCUCUGUCCUGCCAACCUGCACUCCAUCUCACCCUCUGUCCUAUCAUCCUGCCAUCCAUCUCACCCUCUGUCCUACCAUCCUGUCAUCCAUCUCACCCUCUAUCCUGUCAACCUGCUGUCCAUCUCACCCUCUGUCCUACCAUCCUGCCAUCCAUCUCACCCUCUGUCCCAUCAUCUCGCCAUCCACCUCACCCUCUAUCCUGUCAACCUGCCAUCCAUCUCACCCUCUGUCCCGCCAACCUGCACUCCAUCUCACCCUCUGUCCCGUCAUCCUGCUGUCCAUCUCACCCUCUGUCCCGUCAACCUCACCCUCUGUCCCGCCAACCUGCCGUCCAUCUCACCCUGUGUCUUACCAACCUGCUGUACCACCCAUAG
rnacentral:lncRNA from 1 species